rnacentral:misc_RNA from 1 species
UUUCCGUAGGUGAACCUGCGGAAGGAUCAUUACUGAGUGAGGGCCCCUCGGGGUCCAACCUCCCACCCGUGUUUAACGAACCUUGUUGCUUCGGCGGGCCCGCCUCACGGCCGCCGGGGGGCAUCUGCCCCCGGGCCCGCGCCCGCCGAAGCCACCUGUGAACGCUGUCUGAAGUAUGCAGUCCGAGACAAUUAUUAAAUUAAUUAAAACUUUCAACAACGGAUCUCUUGGUUCCG